rnacentral:rRNA from 1 species
CAGUCGUACCGGUGGGUAAUCAGCCUUUCGGCGUGAUUAUGUGGAGCGUGAGGAGUUAAACGCCCCCAUGGCCUGCAUAUUCGUGUUCUUUGGGUGUACUUACCCGCAUGGUAGGUUAACAUCAAUUUCGAACGUCAUAAAAUGGUUGGAGGAAUGUAGCUUCGAUCUCGUAUUGAAGUGUUAUAGACUCCGGCAGAUGUGAUGAUCGGGAUUGAGGAUUGCAACGGAUACCCUUCGGGGCUACCCGUCUGAUCUCUGAAAGUUGCUCUGGUGCUGAAAGCUUGCUUACGGUUAUCAAAGUUGAUGGUUAAUAAGUUAGAACGGGUUAAA